rnacentral:rRNA from 1 species
GAUGAACGCUGGCGGCGUGCCUAAUACAUGCAAGUCGAGCGAACAGAUGAGGAGCUUGCUCCUCUGACGUUAGCGGCGGACGGGUGAGUAACACGUGGAUAACCUACCUAUAAGACUGGGAUAACUUCGGGAAACCGGAGCUAAUACCGGAUAAUAUAUUGAACCGCAUGGUUCAAUAGUGAAAGACGGUUUUGCUGUCACUUAUAGAUGGAUCCGCGCCGCAUUAGCUAGUUGGUAAGGUAACGGCUUACCAAGGCAACGAUGCGUAGCCGACCUGAGAGGCGGAUCGGCCACACUGGAACUGAGACACGGUCCAGACUCCUACGGGAGGCAGCAGUAGGGAAUCUUCCGCAAUGGGCGAAAGCCUGACGGAGCAACGCCGCGUGAGUGAUGAAGGUCUUCGGAUCGUAAAACUCUGUUAUUAGGGAAGAACAAAUGUGUAAGUAACUAUGCACGUCUUGACGGUACCUAAUCAGAAAGCCACGGCUAACUACGUG